GAUGAAGAACGCAGCGAAAUGCGAUAAGUAAUGUGAGUUGCAGAAUUCAGUGAAUCAUCGAAUCUUUGAACGCACAUUGCGCCCGCCAGUAUUCUGGCGGGCAUGCCUGUUCGAGCGUCAUUACAACCCUCAGGCCCCCGGGCCUGGCGUUGGGGAUCGGCGGAGCCCCCCGUGGGCACACGCCGUCCCCCAAAUGCAGUGGCGGUCCCGCCGCAGCUUCCAUCGCGUAGUAGCUAACACCUCGCGACUGGAGAGCGGCGCGGCCACGCCGUAAAACACCCAACUCUUCUGAAGUUGACCUCGAAUCAGGUAGGAAUACCCGCUGAACUUAAGCAUAUCAAUAAGCGGAGGA
rnacentral:misc_RNA from 1 species